rnacentral:rRNA from 4 species
CCUACGGGAGGCAGCAGUGGGGAAUAUUGGACAAUGGGCGCAAGCCUGAUCCAGCCAUGCCGCGUGAGUGAUGAAGGCCUUAGGGUUGUAAAGCUCUUUCACCGAUGAAGAUAAUGACGGUAGUCGGAGAAGAAGCCCCGGCUAACUUCGUGCCAGCAGCCGCGGUAAU